UAUCCGGUUAGGGGACAGUUUCAGGUGGUCAGUUUGACUGGGGCGGUCGCCUCCCAAAAGGUAACGGAGGCGUGCAAAGGUUUCCUCAGGCUGGUCGGAAAUCAGUCGUAGAGUGUAAAGGCAUAAGGAAGCUUGAUUGUGAGACCUACAAGUCGAACAAAGACGAAAGUCGGCCUUAGUGAUCCGACGGUUCCGAGUGGAAGGGCCGUCGCUCAACGGAUAAAAGUUACUCUAGGGAUAACAGGCUGAA
rnacentral:rRNA from 1 species